AUGAAGUGACUCUGCUAUCCGAGGAGUGUUAGUUGUCCAUUGGGAGGCCAUGGAGGCCCAGGGAAGGUUCAUGGGGAGGUGGCCCAAAGGAAGAUGGCCCAGGGGAGGAGAUUGAGGGAUGGUGGCCAUGGGGAGGUUGUCCAGAGCAGGAGGUGGUUUGGAGGAGGAGGGCUAGGUAAGCAGAGAUAGGAGAGGUGGCAAUGGGGAAGAUGCUCUGCAUGGAAGAGGUUCUCUGGGGGAGGUGACCCAGAGGGGACGGAGGACCAAGGAAGGGGUUGUUCUAGCAGGGCCAGGGCAGGAGAGGAUCUGGGAGGAGGUUGUAGAAUCAUAGAAUGCCUGAAAUUGGGAGAGACAUUAAUGAUCAUCGAGCUUCAGCCUCAGUGAUUUGGAGAGAUGGUACUGCAGAGUGUCCCAGGGAGAGGAUGGACCCCCAGGGGGAGGAAGUCAAGGCCGGGAGGGACCAGGAAAGUGUUCUGAUGGAGGAGGAACAGACACAGAGCCUCAGGGGCAGUUCCUGGGGAGGAGGCCCAGGGGAGGUGGAGGAGGCCCUUGGGCGGGCUGGGACUGGCCAGGACACCACAACGUUGCCAGGUGACAGACAACAGCGUGCCGAUCAGCUCCGGGCUGCAUUGAGCUCGCUGACCUCUCCUCUUUUACCAGGGAGGUGCCACUCUGUGCCCCCCAGCCAUCACACAGCUGAGCCCAGCUGCACCCUGCUUGGGACGUUCACUCUGAAGCGUAAUGAGGACCUUGAGCCUUCUGGAGCAGAACCCUGCAAUCUGGGGUGCUCCAUCCGUAUCCUCCCUGCAGCAGCGCAGUGCUGGGACACGUGGCAGAGCCUGCAGUGCCUCUCCUGACACUGUCAGUGUCCGUGGGACCGCCGGGGCUCCCACUGAAGGCAGAGCUCUGGCUGCAGAUCCCAGCUUGGGGGGCUCCAGACCUGUUGCUCCCCACACAGGGCUGGUGGAACGUGGAGUGCGAAGCUGCUGGGGGUCACGGUGGGGCAGCAGGAGCAGCUCCAGCUCUGUCUGCACCGCGGAUGUGGCUGCCAGGUGUUGGGAGGACACAGGGGGGAUCUACGAGGAGGAGGAAGAUGAUGGCAGUGGGCAGGAUGGGGCCCUGCUCCCAUGGCAGUGCCCUGAGCAGGAUGAGUCCCCAGAGCUGAUGAGGAGGGGAAGCCUGGAGUCACUGGGAGCCAGGAUAUCCAGGCUGAGCCAGAGUGGGGCUGAGACCCCCUGCCUGGCCUCCUCCAAGCACCCAGCACAGGGCAGAGGGGAUGCAUCUCACUGGGGACCACACUCCAAGGCAAAGCCCUCAGUCACCUCUCUGCAUGGUGGGGAUGGGGAAGCUGGACAUCUCCGGAGACCCUCAAGCAGCUCAGCCAGCAGGAGCAGGGCCAGGGCUGUGGGACAUCACAGAUGGCAGGAGCUACCAGCACGCCGGGGGUGGCAUGGGGGGGAUUUCAUCCUCACUGCCAAGAAGGAAGAUGGUGAUGGGCGGAGGAGAGCUCUCUGUGAGUGUGCUGUUGGCCUUGGGGUACGGGGGGCUGAAGCAGGGGUCCAGGAGGGGUCACAGGGGGCUUGGUGGGGCCAGGGACCCCCCUGGGGAUGGGUGAUGGUGGGACCAUGUGGCAGUGAGGGUGGGCAGCCCAGAGCCAGUCCCACUCGUUGGUGGGUUCGUGGUGUCCCCAACCUUCUCUUACAGGCACCAAUGCAGCAGAGGGACCUGCUGGGAGAUGCAGCCCCUGGGCAGAGAGGCAGCAUGGGGUGUCCUGCCCAGGGCAUGCAGCAGAGCCCCGGUGGCAGCACUGGAAGCAGAAGGCCAUCCUGUCCCACAGGCUGGCAGCGCUGCGCCGGGCCCUGAGGAGCAGCCAGGAGGGGAUGCAGGAGCCAGGAGCUGGAGAUUGGGGCAUGCAGAGCGAUGGGGAUGGGGUCAGGUGUGUGCUGUGACCCUGCUCUGGGGUCCUAUGGGCAAAGAGGGAGUUUUGGGGUGUCCCACUGGGUGAUGCUCUCCUUUCUGCAGGGCACGUGCGUGGGAUCAUGUGGAGAAAGUGCAGGGGCAGAAGGGCUGUGCUGGAUGUCCAGGGAACAUGAGGAGGAAAAUGCUGCAUCUCAGAGAAGAGAAGCGGGAGCUGCAGGAGAGGCUCUGUGGGCUGGAGCUCCAGAUGCGCUCCGUGCUGCGGCAGAGGCAGGAGGCCCUGGGGCAGCUGCGGGCAGUGCUGAGGAAGGAGAGGAUGGCUGCACUCCAGCAGCUGCAGGAGAGCUUGGAGAAGGUGAAUGGGGCCGUCUGUCAGGAGAACUGUCACCUGCAGGAGCUGGCAGCCCCAGGAGCCCUGAAGGAGCCACCGGCCCCAGCCAGAGCACUGCGGGAUGCAGAGAUGUGUGUGUGGGACCCAGCCUGGCCACCCCCUCCUGAUCCUUCCAAACCUGGGUUGUGCUGUGACACAGGUGCACAGAAAUUCUGCCUCUUCCCUGUCCCCAAGCACUGUGCCUGGCCUCCAGCAGCACCAACGUGGGGUCCCAGGGGUCCUGCACCACAUCCAGCGCUGCCUGUGGGAGCUGCAGGUGAAUGACUUCAGUGUGCUGGGAGCAGAGCUGGGCACUACAGCAAGUGAGGAGAGGUUCCUGAUGCCACAUCUUGCCGUUCCUGCAAGCCCCAAUGGGAACAAGCUCACUGCUACGAUCAGGACUCGAGAUGAAGCAUGGAGGUGGUGAUGCAUCCCUCUACUUCCCCAUGCAUACCCAGAAUUGUGAAGCUGCUGAACGGGUCCCAUAGAAUUUCCUAUAUAGAAACUUCCCUUAGGUCCUGGCUGGGCUCCUUCCCAGGGCUGGGGACGGUGGGACAGCAUUUUGGGUGUGAUGAGUGAGGUCGUGUGCCUCCACCAGGCUGUGGUCCAAGGCCCUGCUGGGAGAACCCGGAUUCCCAACCAGCAUCUUUGCUCCUCACACUCAUUUAGGAGCUUGGAAUGGAGAGGUCCAUGCUGCAGGGGUGGUUGCUCAGUGUGGUGGGGAUGAAGCUUUUGGGUUGGGGUGAGAUAUGGGGAGUGAGGGCUGGGGGAAGCCUUGUGCCUUCCCAGGUCUUGUUGUUGGCUGGGCCGUGCACAUGGGGAGCGCUUUGGGAUGGCUGCAGGCAGAAACACUGCAGGAAAAAAUAGAGAAAAAGAAGUUUAAAAAUGAGGAAUGGUUCCGUUUAGGAGCUUUCAAAUGAUUUUAAAGAAGAGAAACGCAUUUCUCAGUCUUCACACAUCGCAGUGGAGAAAAUACUGUUUUUAAUUUGCAGGAGAAAGCCCAAGGAGAGUUUCUCUGUGUGUGAGGGGGGAAAUGAGAAUUUCGUGCAGUACUGAUUGCUGCACUUCCUUGCAGGAGGAGAGAGGGAGUGGAAAUGGAAAUCUUUGUCUGCUUUCUUCCCAAUCAAAAUAAAAAUGUUUCCUCACGAUGUUUUUCUGGACUGGGGAGAUUUCUGAAUUUACUUGUGGUGCACAGCUCUGUUUAUAAGCUCCCUUUAGGUACUGGAAGGCUACAGUGAGGUCUUCCCAGAGCCUCCUCUUCACCAGGAUACCCAAAAAUGUGAUAUUUCUGCUUCACCUCAUGCUUGGAAGGUCUGGGAUUCUGAUGCAACCUUGAAAUCACCCAGUGCAAUACAUGUCCCUGUGGAAGGCAAUGCAAGACCCUUGAAACAGAUGUUUAACAUACCUAAAACUGGCCGAAAAACCAUUGCUCUGUGCCAGGAAUGAUGACCUAGGAUACAGAUAUAAAAGAAAAAAAUGCUAUUUUUGUAAUUAUUGUGGGAAGUUCUGUUGGAGUAACAUGUAAUUAUAGAAACUGCCCUCUGGUACAAGCCACUGUUCGAACUCUGAUGGAUGAGAGCUGCUCAUCUCCCCAAGGAAAAUGAGAAUUUAAGUCUAGGAAGGCAAAGCUAUUUGUACUGUGAUAAUGGUGACUGUGAUUAUAUGGCAAAGGUGCCUGGGACUGAACUGGUAACAGUAAAGGACUGAGGGUGUUUCUGAGGGGCUCUUAUAUCAAGAAAACAGGGAAAUAGUUAUCUUCAUGUGGUAUAAGUAGAAAAACAAUAAAAUGGAAUAGAGUGGAAUGGAGCUGGA